UGCACAGAAGAAACAAAAAUGAUGUUGAUUUUUCAGUACAAAAUAUUCAAUUUUCCCAUACAAACCUAAAAGUCCAAAUUUACUCAUGUAAACGUUACUUAAAAAUUCUGCAAAAAAUCAUGGAUGAGUUUUGGACCAAAACGAAGCUUUUGAGACCCCAGGGUUUGAGAAAUUCGAAAAUGACCCCAAAUCGACUCAGUCUAUUACUACAGUGUUGAUAAGGCACCGUUUAAAAACCAAUCCCUCAACUAUAGCUUUUCUCUGUUGGAAAUCAUCCAACCCAAAGCUUAAUGAAAAUUUAAACAGAAGCAUAUGCUUUGAGCAGAUGAUGAUAGUUUUGCUUCAAAGCUCGACCAAACAGGUCACACGUCGACUAAUUCUACGCUUUGGCCAGUUAUCAUCAUGAAUCUGCCACGUUUAUCAGUGGUGCUUAUUUUUUUUUCGUAGGCGUCGUACUUUGUGGUCCUUGCGCCAAACCGCAAGAAACUUCAGUGAAGCAAUGCGGUAAAAAUGAACACCUGGCCUGCGCCUGUGGCCACAAUACGUGCGCUCAACCUCAGUUAACGCUUGUCACCCUAUGCAUUCGGUGCCAGGAGGAGUGUGUCUGCGAAGAUGGCUACGUCCGGAAUGGUGAAUUUGGAGAUCCAUGUGUCCCAAUCGAUCAGUGCGCUCCCACCGCACCUUCUGGUUACUAAUUUCAAGUAGAGAAAACAGAAAACAUAAACUAUGGCUUUUAAAAUUGAUGGAUUCAAGGUAUGAGCCGUUUCGAAUAACGAAUUUAAUCAAAUAAAGAAUUUACAAUUGAUAGUCAUAAUCAAAGAAUAUCAUCUACAUCUAAA